rnacentral:rRNA from 1 species
GAUGAACGCUGACAGAAUGCUUAACACAUGCAAGUCGAUGGGGAAGUGGUGCUUGCACCAUGGCAACCAUGGCGGACGGGUGAGUAACGCGUAAGGGACUUACCUGCAGGACUGGGAUAACAGGGGGAAACUCCUGACAAGACCGGAUAAUGUCAUGGAGCUGCAUGGCUUUAUGAUGAAAGGAGACGCCUGCGGAGAGCCUUGCGUCCUAUUAGCUAGUUGGUGAGGUAAUGGCUCACCAAGGCGAAGAUAGGUAGCCGGCCUGAGAGGGUGGACGGCCACAAGGGGACUGAGAUACGGCCCUUACCCCUACGGGAGGCAGCAGUGGGGAAUAUUGGACAAUGGGGGCAACCCUGAUCCAGCAAUUCUGUGUGCACGAAGAAGGUUUUCGGAUUGUAAAGUGCUUUCAGCAGGGAAGAAGUAAGUGACGGUACCUGCAGAAGAAGCGACGGCUAAAUACGUG